GACGAACGCUGGCGGCGUGCUUAACACAUGCAAGUCGAACGGUGAAGCGCCUUCCUUUUUGGUGGGUGUGGAUGAGUGGCGAACGGGUGAGUAACACGUGAGUAACCUGCCCCCUUCUUCUGGAUAACCGCAUGAAAGUGUGGCUAAUACGGGAUAUUCUGGGUCUGUCGCAUGAUGGGUCUGGGAAAGAUAUUGUUUCGGUGGGGGAUGGGCUCGCGGCCUAUCAGCUUGUUGGUGGGGUGAUGGCCUACCAAGGCGGUGACGGGUAGCCGGCCUGAGAGGGUGGACGGUCACACUGGGAAUGAGACACGGGCCAGACUCCUACGGGAGGCAGCAGUGGGGAAUAUUGCACAAUGGGCGCAAGCCUGAUGCAGCGACGCCGCGUGAGGGAUGGAGGCCUUCGGGUUGUGAACCUCUUUCGCCAGUGAAGCAGGCCUGCCUCGUUUGUGGGUGGGUUGACGGUAGCUGGAGAAGAAGCGCCGGCUAACUACGUG
rnacentral:rRNA from 1 species